rnacentral:rRNA from 1 species
UACGGAGGGUGCAAGCGUUGUCCGGAUUUAUUGGGUUUAAAGGGUGCGUAGGCGGCCGCUUAAGUCAGUUGUGAAAUAUCCCGGCUCAACCGGGAGGGUGCGAUUGAUACUGGGCGGCUCGAGUAACAGCGAGGUUGGCGGAAUUGACGGUGUAGCGGUGAAAUGCAUAGAUAUCGUCAAGAACACCGAUAGCGAAGGCAGCCAACUAGGGGUUAACUGACGCUGAGGCACGAAAGUGCGGGGAUCAAACAGG